CUACGGGUGGCACCAGUCGAGAAUCUUCCGCAAUGGACGAAAGUCUGACGGAGCGACGCCGCGUGCGGGAUGAAGGCCUUCGGGUUGUAAACCGCUGUCAGUGGGGAGGAAAUGCAUCAGGGUUCUCCCUGGUGUUUGACCGAUCCGCAGAGGAAGCGCAGGCUAAGUUCGUGCCAGCAGCCGCGGUAACACGAACUGCGCGAACGUUAUUCGGAAUCACUGGGCUUAAAGAGUUCGUAGGCGGCCUUUCAAGUCGGGUGUGAAAUCCCUCGGCUCAACCGAGGAAUUGCGCCUGAUACUGUUGGGCUUGAGGGGGAUAGGGGUGAGCGGAACUGAUGGUGGAGCGGUGAAAUGCGUUGAUAUCAUCAGGAACACCGGUGGCGAAGGCGGCUCACUGGAUCUCUUCUGACGCUGAGGAACGAAAGCUAGGGGAGCGAACGGGAUUAGAUACCCUGGUAGUC
rnacentral:rRNA from 1 species